rnacentral:rRNA from 1 species
UACGAAGGGGGCUAGCGUUGCUCGGAAUGACUGGGCGUAAAGGGCGCGUAGGCGGCUCACAGAGUCGGACGUGAAAUUCCUGGGCUUAACCUGGGGGCUGCGUUCGAUACCUGUGGACUAGAGUGGGGAAGAGGGUCGUGGAAUUCCCAGUGUAGAGGUGAAAUUCGUAGAUAUUGGGAAGAACACCCGUGGCGAAGGCGGUUCUCUGGGACGGUACUGACGCUGAGACGCGAAAGCGUGGGGAGCGAACAGG